rnacentral:rRNA from 1 species
CACGUAGUUAGCCGUGGCUUUCUGAUUAGGUACCGUCAAGAUGUGCACAGUUACUUACACAUUUGUUCUUCCCUAAUAACAGAGUUUUACGAGCCGAAACCCUUCAUCACUCACGCGGCGUUGCCCCGUCAGGCUUUCGCCCAUUGCGGAAGAUUCCCUACUGCUGCCUCCCGUAGGAGUCUGGACCGUGUCUCAGUUCCAGUGUGGCCGAUCACCCUCUCAGGUCGGCUACGUAUCGUCGCCUUGGUAAGCCGUUACCUUACCAACUAGCUAAUACGGCGCGGGUCCAUCUAUAAGUGAUAGCAAAACCAUCUUUCACUUUAGAACCAUGCGGUUCUAAAUGUUAUCCGGUAUUAGCUCCGGUUUCCCGAAGUUAUCCCAGUCUUAUAGGUAGGUUACCCACGUGUUACUCACCCGUCCGCCGCUAACUUCAAAGGAGCAAGCUCCUUAUCUGUUCGCUCGACUUGCAUGUAUUAGGCACGCCGCCAGCGUUCAUCCUGAGCCAGGAUCAAACUCU